UACGGGGGGGAGCAAGCGUUGUUCGGAUUUACUGGGCGUAAAGGGCGCGUAGGCGGCCACCGCAAGUCAGUUGUGAAAUCUCUGGGCUUAACCCAGAACGGUCAGCUGAUACUGCGGGGCUAGAGUGCAGAAGGGGCAACUGGAAUUCUCGGUGUAGCGGUGAAAUGCGUAGAUAUCGAGAGGAACACCUGCGGCGAAGGCGGGUUGCUGGGCUGACACUGACGCUGACAGCGCGAAAGCUAGGGGAGCGAACAGG
rnacentral:rRNA from 1 species